AACACGAUUACUGGUCCACCUAGAAAUGCCGUGGAGCGAUUUAAGAGCCUCGGAAAUUUCCUUUAAGACUAGUCUCACUCUGUUGCCCAGGCUGGAGUGCAGUGGCGCGAUCUCAGCUUACUUCAGCCUCCGCCUCCCGGUUUCAAGUGAAUUCUCCAGCCUCAACUUCACAAGUAGCUGGGAUUACAGGGCAUUCAAGCAGCCCUGAGGAGAGGUCCACAUGGUGAGCCACUGAGGGCCUUGCCAAGAGCCAGCACCAACGGUCCAGGUUUGGAGUGUACCACCUUGGAAGUGAAUCUUCCAGUCCAGUCAAGCCUUCAGAUGACUUCAGAACCGUCCAUGUAAGCCACUCUUGGAUUCCUGACCCACAGAAACUGUUGGAGCUGCCAAUUUGCAGGAAAUAGAGGAGAGAAGCAUCUGUUGAACUGCACCAUGAGUAUACACUCAGCAAAGGCCAAACUGUGGAAAAUGAUACAGGUCAAACAGCCUGGAUUCUUUAACAGUAAGUGAUGUUUCUGAAGCACCAAUGAAAAUGAAGUCCUGAAGUCCUGUGCUCAAUAUGAAAUGUUGGAAGUUAGAAGAAAAAAACAAAACUUGGAUCCAAUCUCAAGGCACUUUUUGUUUAAUGGGAAGAAGUGGAUUAUUUUAAAAGCUACAAAUAAAGUUACAUAAAAGUAGCAAA
rnacentral:lncRNA from 1 species